AUUGAACGCUGGCGGCAGGCCUAACACAUGCAAGUCGAGCGGAUGAAGGGAGCUUGCUCCUGGAUUCAGCGGCGGACGGGUGAGUAAUGCCUAGGAAUCUGCCUGGUAGUGGGGGAUAACGUCCGGAAACGGGCGCUAAUACCGCAUACGUCCUGAGGGAGAAAGUGGGGGAUCUUCGGACCUCACGCUAUCAGAUGAGCCUAGGUCGGAUUAGCUAGUUGGUGGGGUAAAGGCCUACCAAGGCGACGAUCCGUAACUGGUCUGAGAGGAUGAUCAGUCACACUGGAACUGAGACACGUUCCAGACUCCUACGGGAGGCAGCAGUGGGGAAUAUUGGACGAUGGGCGAAAGCCUGAUCCAGCCAUGCCGCGUGUGUGAAGAAGGUCUUCGGAUUGUAAAGCACUUUAAGUUGGGAGGAAGGGCAGUAAGUUAAUACCUUGCUGUUUUGACGUUACCAACAGAAUAAGCACCGGCUAACUUCGUG
rnacentral:rRNA from 1 species